rnacentral:rRNA from 1 species
AUUGAACGCUGGCGGCAGGCUUAACACAUGCACGUCGAACGAGUGGCGGACGGGUGAGUAAUGCUUGGGAAUCUAGCUUAUGGAGGGGGCUACCUACGGGAAACUGUAGCUAAUACCGCUUACCAUAGGAUGCGCCCACGUGGGAUUAGGUAUUUGGUGAGGUAAAGGCUCACCAAGCCGACGAUGUCUAGCUGGUCUGAUAGGAAGACCAGCCACACUGGGACUGAGACACGGACAAGACUCCUACGGGAGGCAGCAGUGGGGAAUAGUGCGCAAUGGGGGCAACCUGACGCAGCCAUGCCGCGGGAAUGAAGAAGGCCUUCGGGUUGUAAAGUUCUGUCGGUAGCGAGGCGUUAACUACAGAAGAAGCACCGGCUAACUCCGUGCCAGCAGCCGCGGUAAUUC